GGCGAACUGCUCAGUAACACGUAGCUAAUCUGCCCUUAGGUCGAGGAUAUCCUCGGGAAACUGAGGCUAAAACUCGAUAAAAGACAUGCCCUGGAAAGACUUGUCUUUGAAAUUCGAGCCUAAGGAUGAGGCUGCGGUGGAUUAGGUUGUUGGCGGGGUAAUAGCCCACCAAGCCGAUGAUCCAUAAGGGCUCUUAGCGGAGAAGCCCUGAGAGGGAAUCUGAGACACUAUUCCCAGCCCCACGGGGUGCAGCAGUUAGGUAUAAUCUACAAUGCGCGAAAGCGUGAUAGUUUGAGUCAGAGUGCGUUUCUUUGAAAUGCUUUUGUGAAAUGUAAAAAGUUUCACGAAUAAGGACUGGGUAAGACUAGUGCCAGCCGCCGCGGUAAUACUAGCGGUCCAAGUCGCAGCCAUUUUUAUUGGGUCUAAAACAUCCGUAGCUUGCUUGGUAAGUUCCUUGUGAAAUCUUAUAUCUCAAAUAUAGGGCGUGCAAGGAGUACUGCUAAGCUAGAGACUGGGAGACGUAAAGAGUACGUUCGAGGUAGCGGUAAAAUGUGUUAAUCUCGGGCGGACUAACAAUAGCGAAGGCACUUUACGAGAACAGUUCUGACAGUAAGGGAUGAAGGCUAGGGGCGCAAAACGGAUUAGAUACCGUGUAGUCCUAGCAGUAAACACUGCUCACUAAACAUCGGGACCUCUUCGGGAGGUUUCGGUGCUGCAGCGAAGGCGAAGAGUGAGCUACCCUGGGAAGUAUAGUCGCANNAGGGCUGGAAACUUAAAGGAAUUGGCGGGGAGACACUACAACGAGUGACGCGUGCGGUUCAAUUAGAUUCUACACNCGUGAACCUCACCAGGAGCGACAGCAGAAUGAAGGUCAGUCUGAAGGGCUUACCUGACACGCUGAGAGGAGCUGCAUGGCCGACGUCAGCCUGUGUCGUGAGAUGAGCUGUUAAAUCAGUUAACAGGCAAGACCC
rnacentral:rRNA from 1 species